UAUUAUAUAUAAAGCAGGAGUUUAAUGGUAAAAUAUUACCGCCUUUUUUUAAAUUUUAGUUUUCUUUAUACUGUGACUAUCUUUCGCUAUUCCUACGGCAAAACCAUUUUCGCCUCUCUUUCCACUAUAGAAGUGGAUAUUCCUAUAUCAACUUUAGCUAAUCUAAAAAUCAUUUUCGUUACCAAAAAAAAAAGAAAAAAAACAAAUUUUCGUCUCUCUUUCCACUUUAGCCAAUC
rnacentral:lncRNA from 1 species